rnacentral:rRNA from 1 species
UACGGAGGGUGCAAGCGUUAUCCGGAUUCACUGGGUUUAAAGGGUGCGUAGGCGGAUUGGUAAGUCCGUGGUGAAAUCUCUAAGCUUAACAUGGAAACUGCCAUGGAUACUAUUAGUCUUGAAUAUUGUGGAGGUUAGCGGAAUAUGUCAUGUAGCGGUGAAAUGCAUAGAUAUGACAUAGAACACCAAUUGCGAAGGCAGCUGGCUACACAAAUAUUGACGCUGAUGCACGAAAGCGUGGGGAUCAAACAGG